rnacentral:rRNA from 1 species
GAUGAACGCUGGCGGCGUGCCUAAUACAUGCAAGUCGAGCGAACAGACGAGGAGCUUGCUCCUCUGACGUUAGCGGCGGACGGGUGAGUAACACGUGGAUAACCUACCUAUAAGACUGGGAUAACUUCGGGAAACCGGAGCUAAUACCGGAUAAUAUAUUGAACCGCAUGGUUCAAUAGUGAAAGACGGUUUUGCUGUCACUUAUAGAUGGAUCCGCGCCGCAUUAGCUAGUUGGUAAGGUAAAGGCUUACCAAGGCAACGAUGCGUAGCCGACCUGAGAGGGUGGUCGGCCACACUGGAACGGAGACACGGUCCAGACUCCUACGGGAGGCAGCAGUAGGGAAUCUUCCGCAAAGGGCGAAAGCCUGACGGAGCAACGCCGCGUGAGUGAUGAAGGUCUUCGGAUCGUAAAACUCUGUUAUUAGGGAAGAACAAAUGUGUAAGUAACUAUGCACGUCUUGACGGUACCUAAUCAGAAAGCCACGGCUAACUACGUG